UUUCCGUAGGUGAGCCUGCGGAAGGAUCAUUAAUGUGUUUGGGCCUCACGGCUCUUCAUUCCGACGCUGUGCGCCUUCGGGCUGCACGCUGAGGGAGCAUAUAUCCACCCCUGUGCACACACACGGUGGCGAGCUGGGUAACGGCUCGCAGCUGAUCUUUACACACGUCUAAAAGUCAUUGUAUGUUUAUUUGAGAUAAAAACACAACUUUCAGCAACGGAUCUCUUGGCUCUC
rnacentral:misc_RNA from 1 species